GGACUACAGGGGUAUCUAAUCCCGUUUGCUCCCCUGGCUUUCGCGCCUCAGCGUCAGAAGAGAUCCAGCACGCCGCUUUCGCCACCGGCGUUCCUUCCGAUAUCUACGCAUUUCACCGCUCCACCGGAAGUUCCGCAUGCCCCUAUCUCCCUCUAGCCGGCCAGUAUCGGGGGCACUUUUCCGGUUGAGCCGAAAGAUUUCACCCCAGACUUGGUCGACCGCCUACGCGCCCUUUAAGCCCAGUGAAUCCGAACAACGUUCGCACGGUUCGUCUUACCGCGGCGGCUGGCAC
rnacentral:rRNA from 2 species